GAGACUCUGUGCGCGUGCAUAUCAAUAAGCGGAGGAAAAGAAACUAACAAGGAUUCCCCUAGUAACGGCGAGUGAAGCGGGAAGAGCUCAAAUUUGAAAUCUUAAAGGGUUUCCCUUUACGAAUUGUAGUUUAAAGAAGUGUUUUCUGUUGGAGUUUUCGGUAAAAGUUCUUUGGAAUAGGACAUCAUAGAGGGUGAGAAUCCCGUAUUUGACCAUUACUUUCCAGCUGUGUGAUACACUUUCAAAGAGUCGGAUUGUUUGGGAAUGCAGUCCAAAAUGGGUGGUAAAUUUCAUCUAAAGCUAAAUAUUGGCGAGAGACCGAUAGCGAACAAGUACCGUGAGGGAAAGAUGAAAAGAACUUUGAAAAGAGAGUUAAACAGUACGUGAAAUUGUCAAAAGAGAAGCGUUUGACACCAGUGUUGUUUAGUUGAAAAUCAAUUCAAUAAUUUUUGAUUUUGAGUAGUAUUGACUUCAUCAGCUUGCUGCUUUCUUUUCCGAAAUUAUUGAAUGCACUUUUCAGUUAACAAGUCAACAUCAAUUUCUUUUGUUGUAAAAGGGUAAGAGGAAGGUGGCUUACGCUUCGGCGUAAGUGUUUAUAGCCUUUUAUCUCUGCAAUCGGAGAGAUUGAGGUCUGCAGCGUAGAUCCUUCGGGGUUAGAUACAUUGGUGCUAAGCUAUAGCCUUGUAUAGACAACUUGUUGACUAUGCUCAGUCAUGUAGCUUACUCGCUGAUGCUAUUUUACCUACGCUUAGGAUGUUGAUCUGUAGUGCGUGCGC
rnacentral:rRNA from 1 species